UUUAAAGCGCCCGAUCUGCAUAAUGCAGAUGACGAGGAGGAAGGUUGGCGAAAGCCUAAAAUCGAAAGUUCGGCGGAUGCCUUCUGCCGUCGCUGUCCCGGCAAAAGCACCGUACAAAUCCCUCGGGUGACCGGGGGGACAAAGACGGA
rnacentral:ncRNA from 1 species